rnacentral:miRNA from 1 species
AUCCGCGGAUUGAACCAGCCACGUA